rnacentral:hammerhead_ribozyme from 1 species
GCACUGAUGAAGAGUUCAAGAACAGGACGAAACAGGUGGCUGUCCAGUAC